UACGAAGGGGGCUAGCGUUGCUCGGAAUCACUGGGCGUAAAGGGUGCGUAGGCGGGUCUUUUAAGUCAGAGGUGAAAUCCUGGAGCUCAACUCCAGAACUGCCUUUGAUACUGAAGAUCUUGAGUUCGGGAGAGGUGAGUGGAACUGCGAGUGUAGAGGUGAAAUUCGUAGAUAUUCGCAAGAACACCAGUGGCGAAGGCGGCUCACUGGCCCGAUACUGACGCUGAGGCACGAAAGCGUGGGGAGCGAACAGG
rnacentral:rRNA from 1 species